rnacentral:rRNA from 1 species
AGGACGAACGCUGGCGGCGUGCCUAACACAUGCAAGUCGAGCGGAGACAUGCGACGGAGUCAAAGUUUCGGAUGGAGACGAAGAUGUAUGUUUAGCGGCGGACGGGUGAGUAACGCGUGAGCAACCUGUCCUUCACAGGGGGAUAACACAGCGAAAGUUGUACUAAUACCGCAUAAGACCACAGCGGGACAUCCCGCAGGGGUCAAAGGAGCAAUCCGGUGAAGGGUGGGCUCGCGUCCGAUUAGAUAGUUGGUGAGGUAACGGCCCACCAAGUCAACGAUCGGUAGCCGACCUGAGAGGGUGAUCGGCCACAUUGGGACUGAGACACGGCCCAAACUCCUACGGGAGGCAGCAGUGGGGAAUAUUGGGCAAUGGGGGGAAACCCUGACCCAGCAACGCCGCGUGAGGGAAGAAGGUUUUCGGAUCGUAAACCUCUGUCCUUGGUGAAGAGGAAGAGACGGUAGCCAAGGAGGAAGCCCCGGCUAACUACGUGCCAGCCGCCGC